rnacentral:tRNA from 1 species
GAGGGUAUAGCUCAGUGGAAGAGUGCUUGCCUAACAUACAUGAGGUCCUGGGUUCGAUCCCCAGUACCUCCA